rnacentral:rRNA from 1 species
UGGGGAAUAUUGCACAAUGGGCGAAAGCCUGAUGCAGCAACGCCGCGUGAGGGACGACGGCCUUCGGGUUGUAAACCUCUUUUAGCAAGGAAGAAGCGAAAGUGACGGUACUUGCAGAAAAAGCGCCGGCUAACUACGUGCCAGCAGCCGCGGUAAUACGUAGGGCGCAAGCGUUAUCCGGAAUUAUUGGGCGUAAAGAGCUCGUAGGCGGUUUGUCGCGUCUGCUGUGAAAACCCGAGGCUCAACCUCGGGCCUGCAGUGGGUACGGGCAGACUAGAGUGCGGUAGGGGAGAUUAGAACUCCUGGUGUAGCGGUGGAAUGCGCAGAUAUCAGGAAGAACACCGAUGGCGAAGGCAGAUCUCUGGGCCCGUAACUGACGCUGAGGAGCGAAAGGGUGGGGAGCAAAACAGGCCUUAGAUGACCCUGGUAGUCCACCCCCGUAAACGUUGGGAACUAGUUGUGGGGUCCAUUCCACGGAUUCCGUGACGCAGCUAACGCAUUAAGUUCCCCGCCUGGGGGAGUACGGCCGCAAGGCUAAAAC